rnacentral:lncRNA from 1 species
AUUAUCAGUGUCCCUCCCCCAACAGAAAGCAUGGGUGGGGGUGGGGGCGCUGCUGGAUUCCUGCUCUGGUGGAGGGGAAACUUGUGAGGGGCUGGUAAGCGCCCCCUCCGAAGCCUGGUGUGUGCGCGGGGGGAAGGAAGUUAGUUUCCUCUCCACCCAUGGGCACCCCUUCUGCCCGGGGCCUGGGAAGUGGGCUGCUCUGUGGGCAAAUGCUGGGGCCUCUGAAAUGGAGGAGACGCAGCAGGGAGAGGCCCCACGUGGGCAGCUGCGCUGAGAGUCAGCAGCACCUGUCCCCCAGGCGCUCCUCCUGGUGCUGCUGGGGGCCCGGGCCCAGGGCGGCACUCGUAGCCCCAGGUGUGACUGUGCCGGUGACUUCCACAAGAAGAUUGGUCUGUUUUGUUGCAGAGGCUGCCCAGCGGCCUCCCAGGUGGCGCUGGAGAACUGUUCAGCAGUGGCCGACACCCGCUGUGGCUGUAAGCCAGGCUGGUUUGUGGAGUGCCAGGUCAGCCAAUGUGUCAGCAGUUCACCCUUCUACUGCCAACCAUGCCUAGACUGCGGGGCCCUGCACCGCC